UACGUAGGUGGCAAGCGUUGUCCGGAUUUAUUGGGUUUAAAGGGUGCGUAGGCGGCCUUGUAAGUCAGUGCUGAAAUAUCCCCGGCUUAACCGGGAGGGUGGCAUUGAUACUGCAGGGCUUGAGUAAAGUUGAGGUUGGCGGAAUUGACGGUGUAGCGGUGAAAUGCUUAGAUAUCGUCAAGAACACCGAUAGUGAAGACAGCUAAC
rnacentral:rRNA from 1 species